rnacentral:tRNA from 1 species
UGGCUCAGUGGUAGAGCAUUUGCCUUGCAUGCAUAAGGCCCUGGGUUUGAUUCCUCG